rnacentral:tRNA from 1 species
GCGCCGGUGAUGUAAGGCGAACAUCGCUGCCCGGAAAGCAGAAGAUGCGGGUUCGAGUCCGCGUCUGGCGCA